rnacentral:rRNA from 1 species
UACGUAGGGUGCAAGCGUUAAUCGGAAUUACUGGGCGUAAAGCGUGCGCAGGCGGCUUUGCAAGACAGAUGUGAAAUCCCCGGGCUCAACCUGGGAACUGCAUUUGUGACUGCAAGGCUAGAAUCUGGCAGAGGGGGGUAGAAUUCCACGUGUAGCAGUGAAAUGCGUAGAUAUGUGGAGGAAUACCGAUGGCGAAGGCAGCCCCCUGGGCUAAGAUUGACGCUCAUGCACGAAAGCGUGGGGAGCAAACAGG